CACGAACGCUGGCGGCAGGCCUAACACAUGCAAGUCGAGCGCCCCGCAAGGGGAGCGGCAGACGGGUGAGUAACGCGUGGGAAUCUACCCAUCUCUACGGAAUAACGCAUGGAAACGUGUGCUAAUACCGUAUGCGUCCUUCGGGAGAAAGAUUUAUCGGAGAUGGAUGAGCCCGCGUUGGAUUAGCUAGUUGGUGGGGUAAAGGCCUACCAAGGCGACGAUCCAUAGCUGGUCUGAGAGGAUGAUCAGCCACACUGGGACUGAGACACGGCCCAGACUCCUACGGGAGGCAGCAGUGGGGAAUAUUGGACAAUGGGCGCAAGCCUGAUCCAGCCAUGCCGCGUGAGUGAUGAAGGCCCUAGGGUUGUAAAGCUCUUUCACCGGUGAAGAUAAUGACGGUAACCGGAGAAGAAGCCCCGGCUAACUUCGUGCCAGCCGCCGCAGUAAUAC
rnacentral:rRNA from 1 species